rnacentral:lncRNA from 1 species
GGGAUGUUAGAGAAACAAAACCAGAGGGAGACAGUUGCAAAACUUCACCCUUCACCACUGUCAUCUGGAUGAGCUCCUGCCAGAGACUCUCUGGGGUUUUAGAAAGCAUAGUAGGUUUUGGGGAAAAGUGAAACUAUGUGAAUGGCAUGGCCUUCGCAGAAGAAUACACAGGUGAGCGUAGACGUAAUUGAUAGGAAAGGUCCUGGUAUGUAACAGGGGGAGCAAAGGAGCAAGAACUGCAUUCUGGGAAACUCCCUCCCAACUCGAGGUGGAGAGGGUCGGAGAAAGAAACCGAAAGUAAACAAGGAAAGGCUUUCAUUGAGGAAGCAAAGAAGAAUAAAGACCACUAUUAUUUGUCGGGUCUAUUGUACAGGCUAAGUGUUGGGCCAUUUCCUGUUCGCCCCUGCUCCGGCUUCAUGGCAGCCCUUGCUGAUGUCGAUGAGGUCUUAUUCUUGGAAGUCCUAUCUCGCUCUGGCUGUGUCCACCCUAUGCAUCCUCUGCCGGCCUCCCAGGGGAGGAGGUUGGAAUUCUCCAUGGAGUAGGACCAGGUAAGAGUUUAAAACUGUACUUUCAAGACCACAAGAAGAAAAAAAUAAAUAAAGUAACAACCAAUAUUUAUUUGCAGCC